rnacentral:misc_RNA from 1 species
GUGAUAUUGGUAGAGAAAACAGUUUCGCGUGACAUACAAGAGUCUAUUCUCAAGAAAGGAUGGACACUGGUCUUUGAUAUGAAAGAACAUCGCCUGGAGAGAGUUGCUCGUUGCACUGUUUCACCAAACUUUUCUUCUGAAAUCUUGUCUGGCCAUAAGCUUAGACAGUGUGAUUCCUUUCAUUUUCAAAGGUUUGUAGAGGAACAUGACACUUUUGAUGAUGGUGGAAAAAGGCCUAGUAAAACACUGUUGUUCAUUG